rnacentral:lncRNA from 1 species
ACACAACUAAUUCAAGUAGAGGUUUCCUCCAUUUAUAUUAUUGGUCAUGGCUGGCCGCCAUGUUUAUUAAUGGGACAGGUUUCAGUAUUCAAUUUUCGUGAGACAUGGAGGGCCCUAAUACAUGCUUGGAUAUUCUACAUUUGUUUGGAUGUUUCCUGGAAAUCAAAUUCUUCAAUACUUCUAGGCUAUGUUCGAGAUUUUAGUAAUUUUCAAGUCUUUCCACUACCCUGAGGUCAAACACUCUAUGGAAAUUAAUAAACACAACCAAUUCAAGUAGAGGUUUCCUCCAUUUAUAUUAUUGGUCAUGGUUGGCCGCCAUGUUUAUUAAUGGGAUAGGUUUCAGUAUUCAAUUUUCGUGAGACAUGGAGGGCCCUAGUACAUGCUUGGAUAUUCUACAUUUGUUUGGAUGUUUCGUGAAAAUCAAAUUCUUCAAUACUUUUAGGCUAUGUUUGAGAUUUUAGUAAUUUCCAAGUCUUUCCACUACCCUGAGGUCAAGCACCCCAUGGAAAUUAAUAAACAACCAAUUCAAGUAGAGGUUUCCUCCAUUUACAUUAUUGGCCAUGGCUGGCCUCCAUGUUUAUUAAUGGGAUAGCUUCAGUAUUCAAUUUUCGUGAGACAUGGAGGGCCCUAUUACAUGCUUGGAUAUCUACAUUUGUUUGGAUGUUUCCUGGAAAUCAAAUUCUUCAAUACUUGUAGGCUAUGUUUGAUUUUCAUAAAAAAAUUAAAAGAAAAUACGACAAAAAGAAAAUCAACACAAAGAUUAUUAAGAUAAUGUAUUCUCCUUUAUUAAGAUUAUUUAAAGACAUGGAGGGUCCUAAUACAUGCUUGGAUAUUCUACAUUUGUUUGGAUGUUUCCUGGAAAUCAAAUUCUUCAAUACUUCUAGGCUAUGUUCGAGAUUUUAGU